rnacentral:rRNA from 1 species
UACAGAGGGUGCGAGCGUUAAUCGGAAUUACUGGGCGUAAAGCGCACGUAGGCGGCUUGGUAUGUCGGGUGUGAAAUCCCCGGGCUCAACCUGGGAACUGCAUCCGAAACUGCCUUGCUAGAGUAUGGGAGAGGGAAGUGGAAUUUCCGGUGUAGCGGUGAAAUGCGUAGAUAUCAGGAGGAACACCGAUGGCGAAGGCAGGUCUCUGGGCCAUAACUGACGCUGAGAAGCGAAAGCAUGGGGAGCGAACAGG